GGGGAAGAGAGGAGUCGGUGAGAUCAGGAAGUAGAACAAAAAUACAGCAGAACUAAGACUACAAGGUGUCUAUCUGCAAGACCAACAUUUAACACCUACCUUAACCAUUUGGAUCUGAACCACUUUUUAAUAUUGUCCAAACUGACUGGUCCCCCCCAUAUGUUCCUCAGUUGGCUGUGUGUCCCAAGGUACGAGGUGGUUAAAGGGGAAACGUACAUUGGAUAUCCCAGUGGCUGAUCACAUGAAGAAUUAAUUAAGUUCCUCAAGACCUGUUUGUUGUUCUGGAUGCUCCCUCUCUCUGGGUUACGAUUGCGCAAGAAGAUUAAUUCCUGCUGCUGCCCAGCCCACAGUCCUCUGACACACUCCUUGUUGACCUACAGGUAGGUAAAAAAGCAGUGUGGGCCAUGUGAAAACAUUUCAGAUACAGAACUAUGUGACCUCUGUAGAACAGUAGUAGCAGUGUGCACGCAUGUCAUAUCUUUGUACCAACAGGUUUGAUAAACCUCAUGAGCAAUAACUCCCUGGAUAAGCCUGGGAUGUUAUUUGUGAUGAACAAAUAUAAGGGUGGAAAAUAAAAGUGAAAUGAACAGAA